GGGAGUGAAAUAGAACCUGAAACCCUGCACUUACAAGCUGUGGAAGCACAUUUCUUGUGUGACCGCGUACUUUUUGUAGAACGGGCCAACGAGUUACGUUAAGUAGCAAGGUUAAGCACUUAAGGUGCGGAGCCGUAGCGAAAGCGAGUUUUAACUGAGCGUUCAGUUACUUGACGUAGACCCGAAACCGGGCGACCUACCCAUGAGCAGGAUGAAGCGAAAGUAAAAUUUCGGCGAGGUCCGAACCCACGAGCGGUGAAAAGCUCGGGGAUGCCUUGUGGGUAGCGGUGAAAUGCCAAUCGAUCCCGGCGGCAGCUGGUCCUCGCGGAAAUAGCUUUAGGGCUAGCCUCAAGGUGAGAGAUACGGAGGUAGAGCACUGAAUGUCCUAGGGGGUAUUGCACCUACCGAAGACUAUCAAACUCCGAAUGCCGUCAUCUUAUACUUGGGAGUCAGACUGUGGGUGAUAAGAUUCAUAGUCGAAAGGGCAACAGCCCAGAUCGUCAGCUAAGGUCCCUAAAUGUAAGUUAAGUGGUAAAGGAUGUGGGAUUGCACAGACAACCAGGAUGUUGGCUUAGAAGCAGCCACUCAUUCAAAGAGUGCGUAAUAGCUCACUGGUCGAGUGAUCCUGCGCCGAAGAUUUCCGGGGCUAAAACUUACUACCGAAGCUACGGCAUCAGUAAUGAUGGGUAGGGGAGCUUCCCAUACGGGUUGAAGCAUGACCGUAAGGACAUG
rnacentral:rRNA from 1 species